rnacentral:tRNA from 1 species
AGGUUUAUUAUAUUUUUAAGUAUAAAUUAUUGUCAAUAGUUAGGUUUAUACCUU